AUUGCAGGCUGCAACCCGCCUGCAUGAAGUCGGAAUUGCUAGUAAUCGCGAAUCAGAAUGUCGCGGUGAAUACGUUCCCGGGUCUUGUACACACCGCCCGUCACACCAUGGGAGUCGGGAAUGCCCGAAGUCAGUGACCCAACCGGAAGGGAGGGAGCUGCCGAAGGCAGGCUCGAUAACUGGGGUGAAGUCGUAACAAGGUAGC
rnacentral:rRNA from 1 species